UAGGGAAUAUUGCUCAAUGGGGGAAACCCUGAAGCAGCAACGCCGCGUGGAGGAUGAAGGUUUUCGGAUUGUAAACUCCUUUUGUUAGAGAAGAUAAUGACGGUAUCUAACGAAUAAGCACCGGCUAACUCCGUGCCAGCAGCCGCGGUAAUACGGAGGGUGCAAGCGUUACUCGGAAUCACUGGGCGUAAAGAGCGCGUAGGCGGGAUAGCAAGUCAGAUGUGAAAUCCUAUGGCUUAACCAUAGAACUGCAUUUGAAACUGUUAUUCUAGAGUAUGGGAGAGGUAGGUGGAAUUCUUGGUG
rnacentral:rRNA from 1 species